GAUGAACGCUGACAGAAUGCUUAACACAUGCAAGUCUUUGGCGAAUCUGUGCUUGCACAGGCUAGCCAAGGCGGACGGGUGAGUAACGCGUAAAGAACUUGCCCUGCAGACAGGGAUAACAGACGGAAACGACUGAUAACACCUGAUACAGUUGCCGGCACGCAUGUGCCUGGCAAUGAAAAGAGAUGCUGCAGGAGAGCUUUGCGUCCUAUUAGCUUGUUGGUGAGGUGACGGCUCACCAAGGCGAUGAUAGGUAGCCGGCCUGAGAGGGUGAACGGCCACAAGGGGACUGAGAUACGGCCCUUACUCCUACGGGAGGCAGCAGUGGGGAAUAUUGGACAAUGGGGGCAACCCUGAUCCAGCAAUUCUGUGUGCACGAAGAAGGUUUUCGGAUUGUAAAGUGCUUUCAGCAGGGAAGAAGAAAGUGACGGUACCUGCAGAAGAAGCGACGGUUAAAUACGUG
rnacentral:rRNA from 1 species